CCCUUAGAUGUUCUGGGCUGCACGCGCGCUACACUGAAGCUAUCAACACGUUUUCCCUCCCUGAGAAGGGCGGGUAACCUUUUGAAUCAGCUUCGUGGUAGGGAUCGGGGCUUGCAAUUGUUCCCCGUGAACCAGGAAUUCCUAGUAGACGCGAGUCAUAAGCUCGCAUCGAUUAAGUCCCUGCCCUUUGUACACACCGCCCGUCGCUACUACCGAUUGAACGUUUUAGUGAGGCAUUUGGACCGACGCAUCUCAGUUUAACCGCUGGUUUGUGUUGGAAAGACUUCCAAACUUGAGCGUUUAGAGGAAAUAAAAGUCGUAACA
rnacentral:rRNA from 1 species